rnacentral:rRNA from 1 species
CUGGGGCGGUCGCCUCCUAAAGAGUAACGGAGGCGUACAAAGGUAAACUUAAGUUGAACUUUAACAACUUUAAAGCAUAAUAGUAUAUGUUUGCCUGACUGUAAGAUUGACAAAUCAAGCAGGGACGAAAGUCGGUUAUAGUGAUCCGAUGAUUCUGAGUGGAAAUGGUCAUCGCUCAACGAAUAAAAGGUACGCCGGGGAUAACAGGCUAAUCACCCUCUAGAGACCAUAUCGACGGGGUGGUUUGGCACCUCGAUGUUGGAUUAUCGCAUCCUGGAGCUGAAGACGGUUCCAAGGGUUUGGCUGUUCGCCAAUGAAGGCGGUACAUGAUCUGAGUUUAGAACGUUGUGAAACAGUUUGGUCCCUAUCUACUGCAAGUGCAAAAAAUUGAGAGGGGUAAACCUUAGUACGAGAGGACCGGGAAAAGUAAAUCCAUGGUGAAUCGAUUGUUAUACCAAUAGCAUAGUCGAGUAGCUACAUUUAUAAUAAAUAAUCACUGAAAGCAUCUAAGUGAGAAAUUAGCCUCAAUACAGAUUUUUUUUUAAAAUGUAACAGAUUAUUACAUCGAUAGGCCUGGUGUGUAAGAGCUGUAAGGUUUUUAGCUAACAGGUACUAAAU